AUCGGUGUGAGGUGUGUCCACACCCCGGG
rnacentral:sRNA from 1 species